rnacentral:rRNA from 1 species
GAUGAACGCUGGCGGCGUGCCUAAUACAUGCAAGUCGAGCGAACAGAUGAGGAGCUUGCUCCUCUGACGUUAGCGGCGGACGGGUGAGUAACACGUGGAUAACCUACCUAUAAGACUGGGAUAACUUCGGGAAACCGGAGCUAAUACCGGAUAAUAUAUUGAACCGCAUGGUUCAAUAGUGAAAGACGGUUUUGCUGUCACUUAUAAAUGGACCCGCGCCGCAUUAGCUAGUUGGUAAGGUAACGGCUUACCAAGGCAACGAUGCGAAGCCGACCUGAGAGGGGGAUCGGCCACACUGGAACUGAGACACGGUCCAGACUCCUACGGGAGGAAGCAGUAGGGAAUCUUCCGCAAAGGGCGAAAGCCUGACGGAGCAACGCCGCGUGAGUGAUGAAGGUCUUCGGAUCGUAAAACUCUGUUAUUAGGGAAGAACAAAGGUGUAAGUAACUAUGCACGUAUUGACGGUACCUAAUCAGAAAGCCACGGCUAACUACGUG